GAUGAACGCUGGCGGCGUGCCUAAUACAUGCAAGUCGAGCGAACAGACGAGGAGCUUGCUCCUCUGACGUUAGCGGCGGACGGGUGAGUAACACGUGGAUAACCUACCUAUAAGACUGGGAUAACUUCGGGAAACCGGAGCUAAUACCGGAUAAUAUAUUGAACCGCAUGGUUCAAUAGUGAAAGACGGUUUUGCUGUCACUUAUAGAUGGAUCCGCGCCGCAUUAGCUAGUUGGUAAGGUAACGGCUUACCAAGGCGACGAUGCGUAGCCGACGUGAGAGGGUGAUCGGCCACACUGGAACUGAGACACGGUCCAGACUCCUACGGGAGGCAGCAGUAGGGAAUCUUCCGCAAAGGGCGAAAGCCUGACGGAGCAACGCCGCGUGAGUGAUGAAGGUCUUCGGAUCGUAAAACUCUGUUAUUAGGGAAGAACAAAUGUGUAAGUAACUAUGCACGUCUUGACGGUACCUAAUCAGAAAGCCACGGCUAACUACGUG
rnacentral:rRNA from 1 species